GACGGGGACCGCACAAGCGGCGGAGCAUGCGGAUUAAUUCGAUGCAACGCGAAGAACCUUACCAAGGCUUGACAUACACCAGAACACCGUAGAAAUACGGGACUCUUUGGACACUGGUGAACAGGUGGUGCAUGGUUGUCGUCAGCUCGUGUCGUGAGAUGUUGGGUUAAGUCCCGCAACGAGCGCAACCCUCGUUCUAUGUUGCCAGCACGUAAUGGUGGGAACUCAUGGGAUACUGCCGGGGUCAACUCGGAGGAAGGUGGGGAUGACGUCAAAUCAUCAUGCCCCUUAUGUCUUGGGCUUCACGCAUGCUACAAUGGCCGGUACAAAGGGCUGCAAUACCGUGAGGUGGAGCGAAUCCCAAAAAGCCGGUCCCAGUUCGGAUUGAGGUCUGCAACUCGACCUCAUGAAGUCGGAGUCGCUAGUAAUCGCAGAUCAGCAACGCUGCGGUGAAUACGUUCCCGGGUCUUGUACCCCCCCGCCCCGUCAA
rnacentral:rRNA from 1 species